AAUGAACGUUGGCGGCGUGGAUUAGGCAUGCAAGUCGAGCGAGAACCCGCAAGGGGGACAGCGGCAAACGGGGUAGGAAUGAUUGGUGACGUACCCUCGGGACGGGGAUAGCCACGGGAAACUGUGGGUAAUACCCGAUAAUCUCCCAGGUUUGAAGACCUGGGUGCAAAGGUGUGAUUCCACCGGAGGAGCGGCCAAUCUGGUAUUAGCUAGUUGGUAGGGUAACGGCCUACCAAGGCUACGAUGCCUAGGGGGUGUGAGAGCAUGGCCCCCACCACUGGGACGGAGAUACUGCCCAGACACCUACGGAUGGCUGCAGUCGAGAAUCUUCGGCAAUGGGCGAAAGCCUGACCGAGCGACGCCGCGUGCGGGAUGAAGGCCUUCGGGUUGUAAACCGCUGUCAGGGGGGAUGAAACCGCAAGGUUGACAGAGCCCCAGAGGAAGCACGGGCUAAGUUCGUGCCAGCAGCCGCCGUAAAAC
rnacentral:rRNA from 1 species